GCCGCUACUCGAGGAGAAGAAAGUCCGAGCCCCUCACGUAGCGUGCAUGGCUGAACGCCGUCACCCGAGUGUCACGGCAUCCCCGUCACAAGUACGAGACAGUAUAGC
rnacentral:ribozyme from 1 species